GCCAGGAUCGCAUAACCCGGUAUUGCGUCGGUCUCGAAAACCGAUCCGAAAGGAUUGCCGGUUCAAAUCCGGCUCCUGGCG
rnacentral:tRNA from 1 species